CGGACAUAUGCAAUGUCUUCCUACUCAAGGCAUCUGCAACAACAUUAGCUUUACCUGGAUGAUAAUUCAAACCAAAGUCAUAAUCCUUCAACAAUUCAAGCCAUCUUCUCUGUCUCAUAUUCAAUUCCUUCUAAUCGAACAAAUACUUCAAACUCUUGUGAUCACUAAAUACCUCAAAUCUCGAACCAUACAAGUAAUGUCUCCAUAUCUUCAAUACAAAGACUAC
rnacentral:lncRNA from 1 species